UACAGAGGUCUCAAGCGUUGUUCGGAAUCACUGGGCGUAAAGGGUGCGUAGGCCGCACGGUAAGUCAGGUGUGAAAGCCCGGAGCUCAACUUCGGAAUUGCACCCGAUACUGCCGUGCUUGAGGACUGGAGAGGAGAUUGGAAUUCACAGUGGAGCAGUGAAAUGCGUAGAUAUUGUGAGGAACACUAGUGGCGAAGGCGAAUCUCUGGACAGUUCCUGACGCUGAGGCACGAAGGCCAGGGGAGCAAACGGG
rnacentral:rRNA from 1 species